UCGCGAAAACUUUGCAAUAGGCGAAAGCCUGACAGGGCUAUCCCGAGUGCCAUCCGCUGAGGAAGGCUUUUACCCAGUCUAGAACGCUGGGGGAAUAAGGAGAGGGCAAGUCUGGUGUCAGCCGCCGCGGUAAUACCAGCUCUCCGAGUGGUGUGGAUGUUUAUUGGGCCUAAAGCAUCCGUAGCUGGCUAAGUUAGUCCCUUGUUAAAUCCACCGAAUUAAUCGUUGGAUCGCGGGGGAUACUGCUUGGCUAGGGGACGAGAGAGGCAGACGGUAUUUUCGGGGUAGGGGUGAAAUCCUAUAAUCCCGGGAAGACCACCAGUGGCGAAGGCUGUCUGCUAGAACGCGCCCGACGGUGAGGGAUGAAAGCUGGGGGAGCGAACCGGAUUAGAUACCCGGGUAGUCCCAGCUGUAAACGAUGCAGACUAGGUGUUUGGACGGCCACGUGCCGUUCUAGUGCCGCAGGGAAGCUGUUAAGUCUGCCGCCUGGGGAGUACGAUCGCAAGAUUGAAACUUAAAGGAAUUGGCGGGGG
rnacentral:rRNA from 1 species